CAAAAGGCUCUUUUCAGAGCCAAAAAAAAAAAAAAAAAGAAUUUU
rfam:TPA: Bos taurus chromosome 3, whole genome shotgun sequence.